UACGUAGGGUGCGAGCGUUAAUCGGAAUUACUGGGCGUAAAGCGUGCGCAGGCGGUUAUAUAAGACAGAGGUGAAAUCCCCGGGCUCAACCUGGGAACUGCCUUUGUGACUGUAUAGCUUGAGUGCGGCAGAGGGGGAUGGAAUUCCUGGUGUAGCGGUGAAAUGCGCAGAUAUCAGGAGGACCCCCAAUUGCGAAGGCAGCACUCUGGGACGUGACUGAGGCUGAGACGCGAAGCGUGGGGAGCAAACAGG
rnacentral:rRNA from 1 species